UGCCUAUACUUUAAAAAGU
rnacentral:snRNA from 1 species